CAGUCGCCACGGGAACACCAGCAGCCCAAGUGGUGGUCGCGUUUAUUGGGCCUAAAGCGCUCGUAGCCUGGCCGGUAAGUUCCCCGUGAAAUCGGGUCGCCCAACGAUUCGGCUUGCGGGGAAUACUGUCGGUCUUGGGGCCGGGAGACGCCGAGGGUACUCCGGGGGUAGCGGUGAAAUGCUGUAAUCCUCGGGGGACUACCAGUGGCGAAGGCGCUCGGCGAUAACGGGCCUGACGGUGAGGGGCGAAAGCUGGGGGCGCGAACGGGAUUAGAUACCCCUGUAGUCCCUGUCUCUUAUA
rnacentral:rRNA from 1 species